rnacentral:rRNA from 1 species
GACGAACGCUGGCGGCGUGCUUAACACAUGCAAGUGGAGCGACGAACCGGGGCUUGCCCCGGAGCAGAGCCGCGAACGGGUGAGUAACACGUGGGUAACCUGCCUCAAUGAUUGGGACAACCCGGGGAAACUCGGGCUAAUACCAAAUGUGUUCACUCCUUCCAAGGGGAGUGAGGAAAGGAAGCUUCGUCCUCCGCAUUGAGAUGGGCCCGCGGCCCAUUAGCUUGUUGGUGAGGUAACGGCUCACCAAGGCUUCGAUGGGUAGCUGGUCUGAGAGGACGAUCAGCCACACUGGGACUGAGACACGGCCCAGACUCCUACGGGA